rnacentral:rRNA from 1 species
GGAUGCGAUCAUACCAGCACUAAAGAACCGGA